rnacentral:misc_RNA from 1 species
AUAGUUGCUUCCCUCAUAUUGCUCCUUGGAGGAGUAGUAGCCAUCAACAAUGUCUUCGAUAUCGUAAGCCAGAGACUUGAUCUGGCCCAGCCAGUGCCGCAGGUUCGCCCUAUCGCUCCCAAAGGAGUUGCUCUCCGCGUUCUUGAGGAGGCCUUCAAGGUAUACCAGGGUGUCCUUGAUGCCCUCGAGGUCGUCGCUGAAGCUGCAGCACAGCUUCGUCUCGCCCUGCGCGACGCCGAUGAUCUCGUUGAUCUUCCGAACGACCUGGUUCACCGUCGCGGCGACGAGCAUCUCGGGGCCGACCAUGGCUGGACUGGAUGUCGUCCCGUGGACCGUG